AUUGAACGCUGGCGGCAUGCCUUACACAUGCAAGUCGAACGGCAGCACGGGUGCUUGCACCUGGUGGCGAGUGGCGAACGGGUGAGUAAUACAUCGGAACAUGUCCUGUAGUGGGGGAUAGCCCGGCGAAAGCCGGAUUAAUACCGCAUACGAUCUACGGCUGAAAGCGGGGGACCUUCGGGCCUCGCGCUAUAGGGUUGGCCGAUGGCUGAUUAGCUAGUUGGUGGGGUAAAGGCCUACCAAGGCGACGAUCAGUAGCUGGUCUGAGAGGACGACCAGCCACACUGGGACUGAGACACGGCCCAGACUCCUACGGGAGGCAGCAGUGGGAAAUUUUGGACAAUGGGCGAAAGCCUGAUCCAGCAAUGCCGCGUGUGUGAAGAAGGCCUUCGGGUUGUAAAGCACUUUUGUCCGGAAAGAAAUCCUUGGCCCUAAUACGGUCGGGGGAUGACGGUACCGGAAGAAUAAGCACCGGCUAACUACGUG
rnacentral:rRNA from 1 species